CCUGCAGUUUAAGCAACAAACAAAAUGAGUUUGUCUAGCACUAAAGGAAAGAUUAUAUAAGUUCAAACAAUUUACGAGUAACCAGUAAGUUUCCUUAUUCAGGGCCGGAAUCAAAAUUAGAGGACAGAUCAGAACAGAUCAAAUAGGUAACCAAAUACCUCUUUUUUAGAUACAUAAUAGAUCAGAAUAGAUACAGUGCCAUGCCGAGCAGAUCAAAACAGAUACAGUGUCCUACCCCCAUCCGUUACACACCAUCUCCUACCAACCCAACACACCAAACAAGGUAUUUAAUACCCAUCCAGCCCUACACACCACAUAGUGUCGGUAUGACACAUUUCAAUUAUCACAGACCAGCUGCCAGAUCAAAUUACAGAUAUUAGUGGUUUAACCACUUGCUCAUAACAAAAUACUUUCACCUUUACUCAAUUC
rnacentral:lncRNA from 1 species